rnacentral:lncRNA from 1 species
UCAAAACCAAAGUAGAAAUAAUCAAACGUGUUAUCAUUAAACAAUAUCAGAGUGUAAUCUCAAAGAUCUCGUGUGCGGAAAACCAUAGUGUGAUGCGCUGCGAUCAAGCCGGCUCCCUUCCUUUAAACAUGAAGUACCUGAAACCAAAACUGAAAACCGUAAGCACAAAGCUUAGUGAGUUCCCCCAUCAUACCUCAUACCAUACAAUCACAUAGCAUACAUACUGCCAGGCAAUUCUGGGGUGCCCGACCUACCCGUGUUAAGCCAUUCUGGGGUGCUGACCUACCCGUGUCAAGCCAUUAUGGGGUGCUGACCUACCCGUGUCAAGCCAUUCUGGGGUGCUGACCUACCCCUGUAAAGCCAUUCUGGGGUGCUGACCUACCCGUCGGUCCUAACAACCGACCCUCGGGGACUAUUCCACCCCCUCCUGCUACUAUCACAUAUACCGUAACAUAAACAUACUAUCAGACAUAUCUGGGGUGCCUGAACUACCCUUCGGUCCUAACAACCGAACACGGGGACUGGUCCCCUCAUACUACCUCUAUCGCAUAUAACAUAACAAGCCAGCAUGCAAACAUAUCAUCACAUACUGUCAGACGUAUCUGGGGUGUCUGACUACCCUUCGGUCCUAACAACCAAACUCGACUACUAUCACACAUAACAUAUCAUGCUAGCAUAUAACAUAUCAAGUAUUAGCAAACCUAGAUGAUAUCACAAAGACAAUCAUCUAUUAUACCUCUCCUACUAGUGGGUCGGCAUUGUGGCCUUAGACCCACCGCUACUGGAAGGUAACUCACCUCACGCUGCUGAAGUCCCGUAGACACAAUCUCACACUGCUGAAGUCCCGCAGGCUGAACCCCAACUAUUGGUUGACAGAUUCCCGAACUGUCAACACCAAAAUAACACCCAAUUAAUAAUUGGGUCCCAACACAUAACCAUAAUACAUACUUGGAUAAUUACUACAUUACCCCAAGAUUGGCUUAUUUAAGCCCAACAAGGCCCAAUCCAUAAGCCCAAAGCCAACUAGGAAACAAAGCCCAACAUAUGGCCCAAUUUUCUAAAUUGGGCCCAAACCCUUACAAGGUCUUACCAUAAGGCCUAACCAUUUAGUCCAGUCCAACAUUCAACAUUCUAAUGGCCCAAUAUCACAUAAUCUUAAAGGCCCAAACUAUGGCCCAUAUAUGGCCAAAUUUUCCAAAUUGGCAUAUGGGCCUUACCACAAAGCCCAUUAAUUAUACUAGUCCAUUUGCUUGAUCUUGGAUGGCCCAUUUUAAUCCAAGUGAAAUUAGGGUUUCACAUAAAAUGAUGAUUAGGGUUAAGUUUCCUACUUAACCCAUUAAGGAUUUAAUCCAUUAAGGACUUAAUCCAUUAAGUCCAAUAUCGCUUAGAUUAAUCUUUACCAAUGAUUAUUAUUUAAUAUCUCAAGUUAUUAAAUAAUUCCCGUGUGACCCGAUUAAUUCCCCAAAUUAAGAUUUACUGGCAUUAGGGUUUUUCAAAAUCAAAUACUAGCCCAUUAUUAAUUUGUUGGACUUUUAGGUUAUUUAGGGCUUUAUUGGGCCGAUCAAGCCCACUAAAAUGUCAUCAAGCCCAUUAGGGUUUUAUUGGGUCAAUUAGAGUCCAUUAGACUCAUUAGGGUUUUCACUAAGCCCAUUUGGCUUCAUUGGGCCCAUUAGGCUAACAAGGCCCAUUAGGUUUUCAAGCAUCCCCAAUCGAGUCGACUCACAAGGCAAGCACACCGCCACCCGACACGGCGGCCGGUAGCGGCAGGGGGGGGGCGGGCCCNACCCCGCCCCCCGACACGGCGGCCGGUAGCGACAGGAGGCGGCAGCCACCACCCUACGGUGGUGGUUUGAGAUUUAUAUUAUUUCAAUUAUUACAAUUUACAAUGAAGUUACAGCUAAACACACACACACACACUACACUAAUUAAUCACACACUCAACCACCAAUUAAUCACACACUCAACCACCAAAGGGUAGCCAACGGCGGCAGAUGGUGGCAGCCACCACCUCACGGUGGUGGUGGUGAUCUCCAAGGUUUUCUAGCCACCCAAAACUCACACACAAUUACUUCCUAAUACACCACAGCGGAGAAUAACACACACACACACACACACAUCCUUUUCUUGGAAAAAAUAAAUCCAACACCCACCUAUGGUGGGCGGCGACUACAGCAGCACAGGAAACGGGCGGCAGCAGCGGCCAUUCGCGACAACAAUGUUGUCUUCUGCGUCAGCCUCCAUGGUCGGCGGCCAUGGUGGUUCUUCAUGAGCUCCAGCCGACAGAAAGUCACACACACCCACGCAACUACAUCACAACCCACGAUCCAGCCUCCGUUUCACGGUAGCGACGACCCAAAAAUGCUUUCAAGAACACGGGAGGAGGAGGGACGGUAGCAGCAGAACAACAGCGCCUACGACGACACAAUUCUCACUGGGGAGGGCACAUUGGCGAUUGUUCGGUGGUUUUUCCUCAAUUACACACGCCGCCCAACAGAAACGAUGGUGGUGCAAGCGGUGGUAUUCGACAGCAAGGGAUGAGGGGCAAUAAGGUGGCGGCGGAGGGCUCUAAUGACCGGAGAUGGUGAAUAAGGUAGAUGGUGGCGCCGGACACGAAAUGGGAGAGUGGCGGCUGUUUCAU